rnacentral:misc_RNA from 1 species
AAUUCAGAAAACAUGUUCAUUAAAUCGGUGGUUGUUCAAACUGAAUUCAAACAAUAUUGUUGAGUGAGAUAUUCAGAAUGCUUUUGGAAAAAUAACUGUUAUCUGGCCGUCAAACUUUCGACGAGAGAGGCUUGAUUGGCUGCACUUAGUAUUUAAGCAUGUGAAUUGUCGCCGAGUUCUUGUUCAAAUGGUUUUCUCCUCUAGCUUUCUUGAUGACUGGUUUAUUUAUUUAUUUUUUCUCUGUUAUCUUUGUCAAGCAGGUAAUUGUGGGUUUUUAAAAAUUGUUGCAA